GAUGAACGCUAGCGGGAGGCCUAACACAUGCAAGCCGAGCGGGAUUUGUUGGUUAGCUUGCUAACUAACAAUGAGAGCGGCGUACGGGUGCGUAGCACGUGUGCAACCUGCCUUUAUCUGGGGGAUAGCCUUUCGAAAGGAAGAUUAAUACCCCAUAACAUAUUGAUUGGCAUCAGUUAAUAUUGAAAGCUCCGGCGGAUAGAGAUGGGCACGCGUAAGAUUAGCUAGUUGGUGAGGUAACGGCUCACCAAGGCUGCGAUCUUUAGGGGGCCUGAGAGGGUGAUCCCCCACACUGGUACUGAGACACGGACCAGACUCCUACGGGAGGCAGCAGUGAGGAGUAUUGGACAAUGGGUGAGAGCCUGAUCCAGCCAUCCCGCGUGAAGGACUAAGGACCUAUGGUUUGUAAACUUCUUUUAUACAGGGAUAAACCUACUCUCGUGAGGGUAGCUGAAGGUACUGUAUGAAUAAGCACCGGCUAACUCCGUG
rnacentral:rRNA from 1 species